UAAAGUGGGGAGAGUAGGGCCAACCUUCAUGGGUUUCCAGUGACCAUACAAAAAAAGGGAUUUGACCAACAAUUACUAAGACAUCAAACUAAUGACUUCCAAAUUAAACAAACUAACAAAAAUAUUAACCAAAACUGACAUCUAGAUUUCAAGAAGCAUAUGAGUUAAGGUAAAAACCAACCAAGGAUUAAAACCAACAAACUUAACAUAUGGAGAUAAUAACAUGUGAUCAAUUAAAGUAAAUUAACACUCUAGCAAAAUAUGAUAAAUCAAAAACCAAAGUUUAGCAAACUUGAAAAUAUGAAAACAAUAACAUGUAAUUAACUAGAUUGAUUAGCCAAAAUUCCAAAAAAACUCAUACUAAAUAUUAAUGAAUCAAAGCUGAAAUUAACAUACUUAAAACAUGAAAAUAAUAACAUGUGAUUAACUAAAUUAAUUAACUAAAAUCAUAACCAACUACAAAAUUGAAUGUAAAGGGAUUAAAAUCAAAAUUAACGAAAUUGGAAACACAAACACAUUCAAACUAAACUAAACUAAAAAAAUAAAUUAAUACUAAAUUAAAUUGGAAUUAAAAACAGCAACUUCAUCUAAUAAGAUUGACUAAACUGUCGAAUUAAGUUUACAAACACAUUUAAACUAAAACAAAUAAAUAAAUAAGUAAAUUAAAACUAAAUCUGGACUAAAAUAAUGAAAUUUAUCUAAGAGGUUUAAUCAAACAAUUGAAUUAAAAUCACAAACAUAUUCACAUCAUGGAAUAAAUUAAGACUAAUCUAAAUUGAAAUUAAACUUUAUAUAAUACGAUUAAUAAAACUAAUAAAUUAAAAUCAACUUCAUAUUCGUUUUCACCGGAGCUACCCAUUCCUAAAUAUGCAAUUCGUUUCCUCAUGCAAAAAUAAAUAAAAUAAAAUAAAAUUCAAAAUUAAAAGAAAAGAGAAAAAACUAAUGAAAAUCAUGAGAUUGAUAAUAAAAUAAAAGAUGAUUAAAAAGAAAAGAAAAAGAGAGACCGAAUUAUAUAAUUCCAUAAUUUAAUAAGGGAGUCGCAUGCAUAUUUAAAGUCCAAACCAUUCAAGCAACUUUCUAUUAAAUAAAUAAAUAUAAUUAUUAAAUGCAUGCAAUAAUAAUAAAAAGAUUAUAUAAAAAGUUAAGCCCAAUGAAAUGCCUAAGUGGACCUAAGGUGGUGCCUAAUGGGCCAAGUGUAUCUAAAUGGGCCUAAGGUGCCUAAGUGGGCCGAACAAGGAAGGAAAAAAAAAAACCUAAGUCUAAAUUAAGUCUGCCCAAAAUCACAAUGGGGUCCGAUGAGUCCCUCAACUAAAGUCUCCAAUGUGGCUUAGAAAAGAUAAGCUACAUGAGCAGUAAUGGGCCACUAGGGAAUUAUUGUAAAGUAUCAAGCGAACACGUAAUAAGACAUGUGCUAAUAAGACAAAAUGGAGAGUCUAGAAAUAUACCCCUCUUCGGUAAAGAUCACGAGUGUAGGAAAUGUGAGUAAAAAUAUGAAUAAUGAGUGGAACGAAGUGAACUAUACCGAAGAACUAAAAGAAAAGGACCGGAGAUUUUGUCCUAGAACAUGACAAGAGUAAGCUCAGAACACGGGGUCAUAAUUACAAAAAUGAAGCAAAUCUAUGUCGUGAGCUCAAGGCUCUACGUGGAAAGAAUGACUCUAGGUCAUAUAUGAGAUGAACAACUCUGUGUCGUGAGCUCAAGGCUCUACAUGAAAAGAAUGACUCUGGGUCAUAGAUGAAACGAACGACUCUAGGUCAUGAGCACAGGACUCUAAAACUAGAAAGAAUGACUCUGGGUCGUGAGCUCAGGGCUCUAAAUGCUAGGAAUGACUAUGGGUCAUAUAUGACGUGAAUGACUCUAGGUCAUGAGCUUAGGGCUCUAAAUGGAAAGAAUGAGUCUGGGUCAUGAAUGAGAAGAAUGACUUUGGGUCAUCAAUGAGAAGAAUGAAUAUGGGUCGUGAACUCAAGGCUCUAAAUGGAAAUAAUGAAUCUAGGUCAUAAAUAAGAAAAACAACUUUGGGUUGUGAGCUCAAGGCUCUAAAUGGAAAGAAUGACUCUAGGACAUAAAUAAGAAAAAUGACUCUGCGUUGUGAGCUCAGGGCUCUAAAUGGAAAGAAUGACUCUGGGUCAUAAAUAAGAAAAAUGACUUUAGGUCAUGAGCUCAUGGCUCUAAAUGGAAAGAAUGACUUUGGGUCUUAAAUAAGAAAAAAAACUCUGGGUCGUGAGCUCAAGGCUCUAAAUGGAAAGAAUGAAUCUGGGUCAUAAAUAAGAAAAACGACUCUAAGUCGUGAGCUCAGGGCUAUAAAUGGAAAGAAUGACUCUAGGUCAUAAAUAAGAAAAAUGACUCUGGGUCGUGAGCUCAGGGCUCUAAAUGGAGAGAAUGACUCUAGGUCAUAAAUAAGAUAAAUGACUUAAGAUUGUUAGCUUAGGGCUCUGAAUGGAAUAGAUAAAGAAGACCAACUCGAAAGUGGAUAGGAAGCAAAUGGGCUUAAAGUCGUAUACUCGAAAUGUCGAGGGUUGAAAUACUAAACUUAGGAAGGGAAAUAUGCCCCAGUAUCUGGGGUACUCACACCACUGAAACAACCAGUGAAUCAAUCAUCCACUAAAAUCAAUGGGUCAAAAACCGAUGCAUCAUGACGAACCUCUAAAAAAUCUAAACUGAAAUAACUCUCUAUGUCUCAAGAGCUGCUCUGUCGACAAAUCUCAAAAGGUAAAUCUUGGAGUGUAUAUGUCGCAACUCAUCUAAAAGCAAAUCUUAAAGUGCACAAAAAUACUGCUCCUCUAGAUAACCUAAUCUGCAAGGUAAUCAAUGACAAAAGCAAUUUAUCUCAUGUGCAUCUGGUUAAAGGAUCCACCUAUGCUUCUCGGGUGAAACCUGAUGUGAUCCAUCUUUAUCUCAACAAAACCAUGUAGGGAGGUCCUGAUACAGUCAAUCGUUGGAAGCCCCAAACUAGUACUCAAUCUUAAACCAAGCUAGUCAUUGUCUCAAUCUCAAGAAUACUCAAAGAAAAUGGGGAAAUAUGCCCCAGAAUGAGAUUUGAUGUCGAAGUCAUGAGGUAAAGAACCAACACUAAUCAUCUAUCCUCAUACCACUGUGCAAACAAAAUCUCAUCAAGGAAAGGAGAAUAUGUCCCAGUAUAAUAUCUUAUGUCAAAGUCAUGAGGUAUAUGACCAACACUAAUCAUCCAUCCUCAUACCACUACCCAAACACAAUCUCACCAAGAAGAGGGAAAUAUGCCCCAGUAUGGAUAUCUAAUGUACAAUAAAGAAUCCAUCAAAAUCAAUCAAACAUCUCUAUAACCAUAAAUAGGGAUAGUCAUAUUGUCCAACAACAACUAAGAACCUCAGAGAAAAUGGGAAAUAUGCCCCAGUGUGGAUUUCUUAUGCAUGACAAAAGGAUGAAUCCAAUAUCAUCAAUGAAUUGUCUCCAAACUCAAAAAUCCAUCAAACAUCAAUAUGCCAAGCAAGAGAGAGAAACCAAAUGCUUCCAAAAGUAUCUCCCAUAAGAGAAAACAUAGUAACCACUAUACUUCAACCAAUUUACAAAAGCUCGUCCAAGUCAAAAUUGUCAAAAAUAACGUCUGAUCUCAUGGCCUCAAGGUAGUCUUAAGACAUAGGACGUAACGUAGGCCAGGGUGAAAAGGCAAAGAAACGAAAUAAAACUAGACUCAAAUACCCAAUGAUCAAACAUAUAACCUUGUGUAUAGUGUACAACGCAUAGGAGAAUCUCAUGAACAUGUGAACUUAAGAGAAGUCAAUGAGAAUGUUGAUGGUGAAAUGAGAAAGAAGGAGAAGUGGUCAAGCCAUCAACAAGUCAUGUAAAUGAUGUGAAGAAAGGUGUCGAAUUGGGAAGGUGUAAAGGUGUUGGAAUGGUACAAAAAAGGGAAUAAAUAAUAGGAAAGAAGUGAUGGGAAAUCAAAUGAAGGUAGUGAGAAAGUUAAAAAAAAAAAAAUGAAUAAUGCAUAUCAGUACAACAAAGGUAUAUAAUAUCACCCAUGAUGGAGUAGUAUAGAAAACAUUGAUUCAAAGACCUUAAUGAAAGGUUACUCAACUCUCAUACCUAUAAAGUGCAGUAACUCUAAUCCAAGAAACAAAGGGUUUCACAAAACUCAAAAAAAAAAAAAAAAAAAAAAAAUCUCACGAAAAAAACUCUUGUCCCUCUAACUAUAUAAUGAAAGUGACUCAAGGAACAAAAAGUCCUCAUAGAAAACUGGCACAAACCCUCAAUAAUAAACCUAAUAAACAACGCUCAAAUAGAAACACAUGCUCAAUGGAGUAAGAUAUCAAGUACAAACAUAUCACUGUGCCUUUUUUUUAUGCGCAUACCCUAGUCACCAAUAAAUCAUACUCCAAUGACAAACUAUAAGGAAUGAAUAAACUCUCUCAAAUCACUAAUGAACACAUGAAGCCCCACUUAUGAGAUAAACUCUCGAAUUGAAAUCUUCGAAUCAGUAUCAAAUGAUGGAAUGAAGGGAGUGAUAUGACUACCCUCUAUGCAUCAAUAUGUGAAGAAACAUCAUUCUAAGUGAAAAAAAUAUGAAAUGUAGGAACCAAUGAUAAAAUAAAAAAUUAAGGUGAAAAUGUGAAAAUAAAGACAUGUAAUAAGCAAGGUGAUGAGAUAAUAGUAGCGAAGAUGAUGAAGAUAAACUUAUAAGUCCAAAGCUCAUGAGAUUUCCUUAGCAAAUCAUAACUAUACAUCAAAGGGGCCCAACUUGGGUGUAAAGAUGUUAAGCAGGGCUAUAGAAAAGAAGAAAAAAGUUAAAGCAUACCAUAUGAGGUUCAAUGGGCUAGCAACGGUAUAAUAUAUCAAUAAAGAUGAUAAGGUGUAAGGCUAACCGAAAUUAUGACCAUCCAUCAUGUGACCAUGAUCUCAAAUGUAAUACUUCUUCAAUUGAUCCACAUUGGUAGGCUCUGAAAAUUGGUUUCCAUCUAAUUCGAUCAACCAUGCAGCCUCUUCUGGAGUCAACUCUCGAAUAACAUAAGGCCCACUCCAAUUAGGUCUGAACUUUCCUCUAGGGUCUCCAACCAAACCUCUGAGAAUUCUCAAAACCAAAUCCCCUUUCUAUAAUGGUCUAGGCUUAACCCGUUUCCUAAAGGCACGAUCCAUCUUUCUCUGAUAGGCUUGAACAUGAUCCAUUGCUCUCAAUCUCCUCUCAUCUAAAAGGUUAAGCUGAUCUAACCAAGCCUGAGCCCACUUUGUCUCAUAAAUCUAUUGCUCAAGGGUUACUCUUUAUGAACCUAUCUAUGUUUCUACUGGCAAAACAACCUUCAUACCAUAUAUAAGAGAGUAAGGUGUAACUCCUAUAGAGGUGUGAAAAGAGGUACGGUAUGCCCAUAAUGCAAAAAGGAGUUUCUCUGACCAAUCUUGAGAAGUCUCAACCAUCUUCCUCAAAAUCCUCUUAAUGUUCUUAUUUGCUGCCUCCACUAUCCCAUUAGUUUAUGGCUUGUAUGCAGACGAUCUGUGAUGUUGGAUACUAUACCUUUGUAACAAAGUAUCUACCUCAGCUCCAAAGUGUACACCUCUAUUUGAAAUCAACUCAUAAGGAACCCCUUAGCGGAAAAUAAUGUGUGACCUAAUGAAACCGGCAACUCUAGCGGAUUUCAACCUUGCAUAUGAUGAAGCCUCCACCCACUUGGUGAAAUAAUCUAUAGCGACUAGGAUGAACUCAUGACCAUUGGAAGAUUUUGGUGAAAUCUUCCCAAUAACAUCAAUACCCAAUACUGAAAAUGGCCAUGGUGAGGUCAAAGCAUGUAACUCUGAUGGCGGUGCAUGAAUUAGGUCACCAUGAAUCUAACACUCUGGGCAUUUCUGAACAAACUAACAACAAUUUGUCUCCAUAGUCAACCAGAAAUAAUCUGUCCUCAUAAUCUUAUGGGCUAGCAUGUUUCCUCCCAUGUGUGGACCACAAACUCCUACAUGAACCUCUCUCAUCAUACUAUUUACGGAAUCUCAAUCUAAACACAGUAGAAGCAUAUCAUCAACUGAUCGCCUAUAUAAGGUAUAUCCACAAAUCAUAAAUUUAGUGACUAACUGCCUCAAUGCUCUCUGAUCCUUGGUCGUGGCUACCUCAGGGUAUGUGCCAGAUCUGAGAAACUGAUAAAUGUCAUGAUACCAAGGUAGAUCAUCCUGGACUUCUGUGUUUCCAAUCAGACAAGAGUAAGGGGGUGCAGACCUCAACUCAAUCAGCAAUGGACGUACAACCACAUCAAUCGAAAUGUCUACAGAAGAAGCUAUUGUAGCUAAGGUGUCAACAAACUGGUUCUGCAUUCUAGGCAGAUGAACAUAUCUCAAGUCAUCAAAUUUCCCAACUAGUUACUAUAAAUAAGCAUGAUACGACCUAAGCUUUACAUCCCUAGUUUUCCAAUCUCCCUGAAUCUGUCUGAGUACCGAAUUAGAGUUACCAAAUACCUCCAUCUAUCUAAUGCCAAGCUCCAAUACGGUGUCUAAACCAAGGAUACAAGCUUCAUACUCAACUAUAUUAUUUGUGAUUGAAUGUCGAUCAAAUAAUGUCAAAUGAAUGGACCUUAGAAUAUGAUCACCUUGAGGGGAUACCAAUAGAACACCUAUCUCGUACCCUAAUUGAUUGGCUACACCAUUAAAGUACAUGCACCAUCCUGAUAAGCUAGUCUUAGCGACAAACUUCUCAUCUGGAAAAUCAUCAUCAAUUGGUCUAUCCUCAGAUGUCGGUAGUGAGGCUAAGUGGUCGGAGAUAAUACUUCCCUUAAUAGACUUCUGAGAAACAUAUUGAAUAUCAAACUCUGUCAAAAGUACGAGCCAUCUCAUCAGUCUACCAGUCAAUGCAGACCUGCCAAAUAGGUAUCUCAACGGAUCCAAGUGGGAUAUCUAGUGCAUUGAAUACUCUAUCAUGUAAUGCCUCAAUCUCCUGGUAGCCCAAACUAGUGCCAAGAAAAGACGCUCAACCAUAACUUAUCUCAUCUCAUACUCCAGCAUCCUCUUACUCAGAUGGUAAAUAGCUUGUUCCUUCCUUGAGUCAUCAAGCUGAGCUAACAUACAUGCCAAGGCCAUGUCUAAAACUAACAAAUACAGAAAAAGUGGACGUCUUGGCAUGAGAGACACUAAAACAGGAGAAGAAAGCAAAUACUCCUUAAUCUUCUCAAAUGCAAGUUGGAAAUCAUCAUUCCAAACUGUUGGUUGGUUCUUCCUCAAAAGACGAAAGAUGGGCUCACAUAUGUCUAUCAAUCUGGCUAUGAAUCGACUGAUGUACUGUAGCCUACCCAGAAAACCCUCUAUCUCUUUCUCAUUCUUCGAAACAGGCAUGUCAAGUAUGACUUUGAUCUUAUUUGGGUCAACCUCUAUGCCUUGCUCGUUGACCAUAUGCCCUAACGGUUUCCCAGAAGUCACUCCAAAAGUGCAUUUCUUGGGAUUUGGCCUCAAUCUGAAUUUUUGAAUCCUCUCAAAGAAUUUCUCUAGAGAUGCUAGGUGAUCUACUCAGCCUCGAGAUUUCACAAUCAUAUCGUCCACAUAAACUUCAACAUCCUUAUGCAUCAUGUCUUGAAACAAAGGAGUAGUGACCUUUUGAUAAGUGGCUUAUGCGUUCUUCAACCCAAAUGGCAUAACCUUGUAAUAGUAGGUACCCCACUCAGUAAUAAAAGUUGUCUUCUCCAUAUCCUUUAGGGCCAUCAAAAUCUGAUUAUACCCUAAAAACUCAUCCAUGAAAGACAAUAUCGAAUGGCCUAUGGUGCUAUCAACCAAAAAAUCAAUAUGAGGGAGAGGAAAGUCAUCUUUAGUGCUAGCUUUAUUAAGGUCUCUAAAGUCAACACAAACUCUAACUUUGCCAUCCUUUUUAGGAAUAGGAAUAACGUUAGCCAACCACUUUGGAUACUCAACCACUGAUAUAAAUCCAACACUAAGUUGAUUUUGAAUCUCCUCUUUCACCUGUAGACUCCAACGUGGGUGCAAUCGCCUCAAUUUCUGCUUAACUGGUCUUGCAUUUGGUAGGAUAGGUAAGUGGUGUUGAACUAUAGAGGCAUCGAGACCAACCAUGUCCUCAUAAGACCAUGCAAAGACAUCCAAGUAUGACCUGAGUAAAUGAAUAAGUCUAUGUCUCUCGUCUAUAGAUAGGGGUGAACCAAUCUUUAGCUCUCUAAGUUGGUCCUUUGUGCCAAAAUCAAUAGUCUCAACAUCACCUGUAGCAGGUGAAACUUUCUCAUCUAUGGGAUCAGAGUCAUGAUCAAAAGAGUCUCUAUCUGAAUUAGGUUAUUCAAUCUCAUCAUCUACAUCAAAUAUCUGUGGAAUGGGUUAAUAGGGUACAGAUAUAGAGAUACUAUCACAAGAGACAGGUGAAUACUAAAAAAAUACUCAAAUCCAUAAAUGAAGCAAUAGAAACAUCGUCAGAACGGGAGAUAAAUCCCGAUAAAACAUCAAAGAAAAAAUAUGGGUCCACAAGGUCAGAUGCUCCCUCAACUAGGCUAACAGUGCCCUCAAACAAAAUACCAUCAUCCUUUAAAAGCUCUGGAACAGGAAUAGUCUGGCUUUCCUCAACAACCUUAGUGGUAGACACCCCAAACAUAUCAAAUGGUGAAACAGGCUAAAGUUGAACAAUGUUGGUAAUCUGACUCAUGGUCAUCAUCUUCAUCUCAUCUCGAUACUCAUCAUGGGGAACAACUCCAUCAAUCAUCUCAAUGGGAUCAACGACCACUCCAUCAUCAGUGACCUCAUAUGGGAAGCAUAGGGACAACAAACUAGCUCGAUCUAGAGACGGAGGAGUAAUCACCAUAGAAACAGAAGUGUCAGGAGCCCCAUCACUCAACUAUUACUGGUGAAACAAAUGUUGAAGCUCAAUCUCUCCACCUGUAUGAACCACACUAUCAAUCUCCUCUAGUUAAGAUCGAAUCCCUAAUCCUCUAACAAAGUAGUCGGCUAAACUCAUCCUAUAGGGUCGAAUAAGAUAAUCAAAUGGUGUGUGAGACAAAUAGGCUCUCACUUUCUCCUUGCGCAAUCGCGCCAUGUAUCGGUAAUCGGCCUCAGUAAGAAUGAACCUAAGUCCAAACAUCGUAUCAUGGUCAAUAGCAACUAUAAACUCAUUAGGUCCCUGCUGAUGUAGUCCUAAUCCCAUGCCAAGUAGAAAAGACAUAACCUUCAUCAUGUCAAGAACCACUGUGCUACUAUGCUAAUCAAAUGACAUACCUAUAAAAUCUCUACAAAAAUCCUCAAUCUCAAGAGUCUGUAUCUCAUCAAAAGUAAACCUAGUCAGAAAUAGGUCAUCCUCACUAUAACUGAUCUGAAGUACUGGCUUGGAAGAGGAAAAAAUAUCUCUAGUAGACUAUACCAUGAUGAUUUGUCCAUCAUGAAUGAACUUCACCUUCAGAUGAAGGGAAGAAGGAAUAGUUCUAGCUCUAUGAAUCCAAGGUCGACCUAGUAACAGGUUAAAUGACGUAGGAAUCCUCAAAACCUAGAACAAAGUAGAAAAUGUGGUUGGACCAAUCUGUAAAUCAAUCACCAAGGUACCCAUAACCUCUCUCUUAGUGCUAUUAUAUGUUCUGACUGUCUGAGUAGAAAGACCAAAAUCUGAAGGUGCGAAACCAAGGGCUAUAGUAGUGGCUAAAUGGCAAACGUUCAGGGUUGAGUCGUUGUCCAAUAGAACAGAUGGAACUCUAUGGCCUGAACAACCAAUUGUGAUGUAUAGAGGGUGUACAUGGUCUAAACCCUCAGGUGGCAAAUCGACAUCUAAAAACACAAUGCAAGUGGCCCUACCAGUCGUCAUCAUAUGAAUCAACCCCUCUGCAGUGGUGGUAGUCUCUAUCCUGAUCUGAUUCAAGGCUCGAAUCAAAGCAUCUCUAUGAGUACUAGAUGAUGCUAAUAAACUCCAAAUAGAAAUACAAGCCUGAGUGCUCUAUAACUGUCUCAAUACCUCAUCAUCCUCUCUUCUAACCUCCUCGUGAGAGGUUGUACCCUCAAAUGGCCAGAAUGCUAGUGGUGGUGGUUGAGCUAUCCUCCCACUACGAGUCACGAUCUGUAUAUCUCUCCUAUCUAAAUCAUCAUCCUUUGGCCACAAAGUGAACGGGACAAAGGUAUCCUGGCAUCUGAUAACCAAAGGUGUAGAAUGAGUCAACUGGAACGACGCCCCCUCUGAGAUCAAACUGAAAGGUGUGGAAACCUGAAGAUCCAAUGAAAACCCCAUCAACCUCACUACUUUCAUGCAAAACAAUCGACUCAGGUAAUCCGUCAUCCCAACUCAACAUAUGUAUACUGUCAUCCUCUAUAAGGUCUAUGUGAUGAAUAUCUCCUAGAGGUAGAGGCAUUGCAUAUAUAGAAUGGGCAUGAAGAGGGUUAGUGGUCACACUUGGCUGCCCCAAGUUAACCAAACCCUGGUAUAUCAAGUCUUGUAUUGCAUGUCUCAAAGCAGUGAAAUGGUCUGUGUCAUGCCCUAGACCCUAAUGGUAGGAAUAAUGUAAAUCCAUCUUGAAGCAAGGUGGCACGGGUUGGGGUAAAAUCCUGGGAGCUAAUUGAGUCAACAUACCACCCUCCAUGAGCUUCUGAAAAGCUCGGCUCAAAGGCAUACCCAACUGAGAGAAUUGUCGCAUCAGCCUUUGUAUAAAAGGAACAGUAGUUUGUGGGGCUCGGGGUUGAGGGUAUAAUGUAGAAGCUCUCUCUGUGACAUGUGUAGCAAAAACAAGCUAUGAGAUUGGAUGUAGAUAAGUAAGAUUCAUGGGUCUAGAGGGAACAUGUGGCCUAUACUGCACAUGAGGUGAGGAUGGGUAUUAGAAUCCAAAAGUCUACUCAAUUGUCUGAUAACCUCUAGGAGGUCUCAUCCCUACUGAACCGAUAGCACCAACAUCUCCUGAUCUAUGUCCUCCUGAAGGCUUCUUCCCCUUAGAGUCAGUAGGGGAAGACUUGGGCCAUAAUCCUCUAGUUAUGCCCUCCUCUAUACCAUAUAAGGCCUAUACUAAGGAUCCAAAAUUUGUAUGAGGAAAUCUCAUCAAAUGCCUAGCAAACUUAGGUUGUAAGCUCCUUAUGAUCAUACUAAUCUGCUCCUUCUCUGAAGAACGAUCAAUAAUCUAUGAAAUCUUCUCUCUCUAGUAGGAGAUAAAUGAGAUGAUUGACUCCUCUGGCCUAUGUCUCAAAGCCUCUAACUCUCUCCUCGAAACAUCAAUGACGAUAUUAAAUGCAAACUGUCUCAAGAAUGGGCCAAAUCAUCCCAAGUUCUACGGCGUGAUACAUCCAAUGAAGCAAACCAACGUUGUGCCGCACCACUCAGAGACAUAGGGAAAAGCAUAACCAACUAGGUUUCAUCUAGUUAGUGGGCCCUCAUAAUCAUACUAUAGAGUCUCGAAUGGAUACGAGGGCAACCUAUGCCCAUGUAUCUCUCUAUCUCAAGCAUUCUAAACUUGGCCAAUAACUGGCCACUAGUGCUCCAUCAAAAUCCUCCCAAGUAAUAUCUCCGUCUGAAGCCCUCAUCUGCCUCAACCUCUACUCGAGUCUAUUCAUACGUGCAUAUGGGUCCUCUGAGGUCAGGAUUGGCAAUGUGACAAAAGGUGGGGUAACCUUGGUUUGACUAUGUAGAGUGAAAGGUAUAGGUUGUGGUGCUGACUGAUUGGGUGGAAGGGGUAGUGGUACUGUAGUAUCAAACUGGGCACUCUCUUGAACUGGGACCUAUUGGGCUUGCUACCCAUCUAUCUUCUGACUAAGGCUAGUUAAAGCUUCCUAGAUCGAAGCCAUGGCCGCAACAAACUGGUCAACGGUAACUAUCUGUGAGUCCAUAUCCCCCUGAUUUGAUCUCUGGUUUGACUGAUCUGAUACUCUGGUUAAUCUACCUCCAAUUCUAAUCCACAAAGGCUAACCCAUAUUGGAUAUGGUAAACCCUCCUACAAAUAUAGAAACACUGGAUAAGGUCUAGUACAAAGGUGACUCUAUAGGAAUCAAUUGAUAAGUGCGUAGAAAUAUGGCCCAAGUGUACUCAAUCUGAUACCCAUCUCUGAUCACACCAAAAGGAGACUAAGGAGGGGAUAACUGAACCUAAUUGUGACCAAGGCAACUCUGAAGGUCCACAGAUGCACCCAUGUGUAGGAAUGAAAUCUUAAUUGGGUCCAGGCUAACAUAUAAGGUUGAAGUGGCUCUAUAAGAUAAAAUGGGUGGGUUAAAGGAUCUCUAGCAGAAGCGAUCAUACCCUCCGGCAGUACGCAACCCUCUGCACACCUCCAAUGAGACGGGGAGGUUCCAUGCAAGGUGGUCAUCACCUCCACACAUGCACUUCCUCACUUUCCUAGGGGAUUUCCUAACGGUGAAGGCUCUCCCAUCUCUCAACACUCAGGGAUAAUCUAAAGUGCACAGUGAAGGAUGUGAGUGCAUAUAAAAAUCCUAAGAUCUAAAGUGAGAUAGUAAAUAGAGACAAGCAAUCAUACAAUCAUGCAGGAGCAAGGGUUGUCAUGCAACAAGCAAUCAUAACAAACAGAUAGAUAUCAUACAAACAAAGUCCUAUCUAACAUAUGUGAGAGUGAACCAUGCUGAGGUGAGCAAGCAAUCAAGUGAUCUUGCAAGAUAAACAAGUAUAAAGACAUGUUAAGAUAGCAAACCAAUCAAGCAAGCAAAUUAAAUCACCUUGCCUAAAAAAAUGAGGUACCCUCUAAUCAACCAAUUAAACGCCACAUUUUCCUCAACUAGUGUUCAAGCUUGAUCCUCAAAAUCCCUAGUGGAGUCGCCAAUUUGUGGACCUGCAUUUUUCACGUGCUCCCCACUCAAUCGAUGAGACUCGCUUUUUUUUUUUUUUUUUAUGGUGAAAAAUUAGUUUUUGGAAAAGUUGGAGCCACCACUUAUUUUAUUUUAUUUUUGAAAGUGAAAAUAAAACAAGAAAGAAAAACCUAAAGAAGUGACUACAUAGUUUUUGGAAAAGCGUUUCUUUGACAAACCCAAGUCUAGGUCCAGGGAUCAAGUUACUUAUUGGAAAGGUACCUCAAAGAGGUAGCACUCCUCUAAGCCCUAAAGAGGUCUCUACUGACUAAGUUGAGGGAAAUGUGGCAAUUAAAUGGUUGAUCAUGGAUACCUAGGUAGGCUGGGUGAUUUCAAAAAAUAGCAUGCCUAACAAGAAAACCAAUCACAAUCAUAAAGAAGAUUUAGGGUGUGUACCUAGACUGCUUUCUAAGCGUUAUCACAAGACAUCAAAGUUAGUUCAAAUAGUAUAUCAUCCAGCAUGCACUUUGUCAUAAAUAAUUGAACAAUGAAACAAAUAUCAAGACACCUAAGCACUAUCAAACAUAGACAUAGUUCACAAUGACAAGCAUAUUGACAGAAUUUUGAAAGUGGGUGAUAGAGGGAGUACCUGGAUAGCAUAGAUAACUUAUAAUGCCCUUCCAUAAGACAUAGGUGGUUAGAUCAUAGUUAUAAUAAUAUAAAGAAAUCCUAGCAUGUUUGUUAUCAAUUAGCAUAACAAAAAUGAUCAAGGUAUACGAAAUAAUCAAUUAUCACCUUCAUCUUGUAUAUGAUUCCUAAAAAAUAGAUAGAUUUGAUUACAACAAGUAACAAAGGUGGCAGUAAAGAUGAUUUUUGAAAAGAUUUUCUUAUGUAGGGAUUUCACCAAUUCCCCAAUUGAUAUACACGAAUCUAGGCUAGAAUUAUCCCAUUUAUUUGGGACCACAAGCUUGGAUUCAUGUCUUACUCAAAACCGUAGUUUUUUUUUGUUGAAAAUUGAGAAAGAUGUGAACCGAUCAAAACAUGGUUGCAUAUUAUUUAAGAAAAUGAGAUUUUGAUUCUAAGGACUCUAAAUGAAUUUUUAAAAUAGAUUUUAAUGAGGUACAUUUUGGGAAAAGGUUUGUUUUUUAAAAGGAAAGACAUUAUUCGCAAACAACAAUACUCAAGGAUCAAACAUAGGCAACCCAAAAGAAAAUAAAAUCACAAAAUAAAAUUUAAGACAACUAAGCCAACUAAAGUGGGGAGAGUAAGGUCAACCUUCAUAGGUUUCCAGUGGCCUUACAAAAAAAGGGAUUUGACCAACAAUCACUAAAACAUCAAACUAAUGACUUCCAAAUUAAAUAAACUAACCAAAAUAUUAACCAAAACUGACAUCUAGAUUUCAAGAAGUGCAUGAAUUAAGAUAAAAACCAACCAAGGAUUAAAACCAACAA
rnacentral:lncRNA from 1 species